AUUGAACGCUGGCGGCAGGCCUAACACAUGCAAGUCGAACGGUAACAGGAAGCAGCUUGCUGCUUCGCUGACGAGUGGCGGACGGGUGAGUAAUGUCUGGGAAGCUGCCUGAUGGAGGGGGAUAACUACUGGAAACGGUAGCUAAUACCGCAUAAUGUCGCAAGACCAAAGAGGGGGACCUUCGGGCCUCUUGCCAUCGGAUGUGCCCAGAUGGGAUUAGCUUGUUGGUGGGGUAACGGCUCACCAAGGCGACGAUCCCUAGCUGGUCUGAGAGGAUGACCAGCCACACUGGAACUGAGACACGGUCCAGACUCCUACGGGAGGCAGCAGUGGGGAAUAUUGCACAAUGGGCGCAAGCCUGAUGCAGCCAUGCCGCGUGUAUGAAGAAGGCCUUCGGGUUGUAAAGUACUUUCAGCGGGGAGGAAGGGAGUAAAGUUAAUACCUUUGCUCAUUGACGUUACCCGCAGAAGAAGCACCGGCUAACUCCGUGCCAGCAGCCGCGGUAAUACGGAGGGUGCAAGCGUUAAUCGGAAUUACUGGGCGUAAAGCGCACGCAGGCGGUUUGUUAAGUCAGAUGUGAAAUCCCCGGGCUCAACCUGGGAACUGCAUCUGAUACUGGCAAGCUUGAGUCUCGUAGAGGGGGGUAGAAUUCCAGGUGUAGCGGUGAAAUGCGUAGAGAUCUGGAGGAAUACCGGUGGCGAAGGCGGCCCCCUGGACGAAGACUGACGCUCAGGUGCGAAAGCGUGGGGAGCAAACAGGAUUAGAUACCCUGGUAGUCCACGCCGUAAACGAUGUCGACUUGGAGGUUGUGCCCUUGAGGCGUGGCUUCCGGAGCUAACGCGUUAAGUCGACCGCCUGGGGAGUACGGCCGCAAGGUUAAAACUCAAAUGAAUUGACGGGGGCCCGCACAAGCGGUGGAGCAUGUGGUUUAAUUCGAUGCAACGCGAAGAACCUUACCUGGUCUUGACAUCCACGGAAGUUUUCAGAGAUGAGAAUGUGCCUUCGGGAACCGUGAGACAGGUGCUGCAUGGCUGUCGUCAGCUCGUGUUGUGAAAUGUUGGGUUAAGUCCCGCAACGAGCGCAACCCUUAUCCUUUGUUGCCAGCGGUCCGGCCGGGAACUCAAAGGAGACUGCCAGUGAUAAACUGGAGGAAGGUGGGGAUGACGUCAAGUCAUCGUGGCCCUUACGACCAGGGCUACACACGUGCUACAAUGGCGCAUACAAAGAGAAGCGACCUCGCGAGAGCAAGCGGACCUCAUAAAGUGCGUCGUAGUCCGGAUUGGAGUCUGCAACUCGACUCCAUGAAGUCGGAAUCGCUAGUAAUCGUGGAUCAGAAUGCCACGGUGAAUACGUUCCCGGGCCU
rnacentral:rRNA from 1 species